CUACGGGUUGCUGCAGUGGGGAAUAUUGGACAAUGGGGGAAACCCUGAUCCAGCAAUGCCGCGUGUGUGAAGAAGGCCUGCGGGUUGUAAAGCACUUUCGGUUGGGAGGACUGCUUCUAGCACUAAUAUUGUUGGAAGUUGACGUUACCUUCAGAAGAAGCACCGGCUAACUCCGUGCCAGCAGCCGCGGUAAUACGGGAGGUGCAAGCGUUAAUCGGAAUUACUGGGCGUAAAGCGCGCGUAGGCGGCUAGAUCAGUCGGGUAUGAAAGCCCCGGGCUUAACCUGGGAACUGCAUCCGAUACUGUCUAGCUUGAGUACAGGAGAGGAGAGUGGAAUUCCACAUGUAGCGGUGAAAUGCGUAGAUAUGUGGAGGAACACCAAUGGCGAAGGCAGCUCUCUGGCCUGAUACUGACGCUGAGGUGCGAAAGCGUGGGGAGCAAACAGGAUUAGAUACCCCGGUAGUC
rnacentral:rRNA from 1 species